rnacentral:rRNA from 1 species
CUCUGCCUUUGUACACACCGCCCGUCGCUACUACCGAUUGAAUGGCUUAGUGAGGUCUCCGGAUUGGCGGUGGGGAGCCGGCAACGGCACCCUAUUGCUGAGAAGCUGAUCAAACUUGGUCAUUUAGAGGAAGUAAAAGUCGUAACAAGGUUUCCGUAGGUGAACCUGCGGAAGGAUCAUUAACGAAUAACUUUGGUGUCUCAGGUUGUAGCUGGCUCCUCGGAGCAAUGUGCACGCCCGCCAUUUUUAUCUUUCCACCUGUGCACCGACUGUAGGUCUGGAUACCUCUCGCCGCAAGGCGGAUGCGAGGGUUGCUCGUAAAGGGCUCCCCUCGAACUUCCAGGCUCUACGUCUUUUUUACACACCCCAAUAGUAUGAUGCAGAAUGUAGUCAAUGGGCUUCACAGCCUAUAAAACACUAUACAACUUUCAGCAACGGAUCUCUUGGCUCUCGCAUCGAUGAAGAACGCAGCGAAAUGCGAUAAGUAAUGUGAAUUGCAGAAUUCAGUGAAUCAUCGAAUCUUUGAACGCACCUUGCGCUCCUUGGUAUUCCGAGGAGCAUGCCUGUUUGAGUGUCAUUAAAUUCUCAACCUCACCCGUUUUCUGAACGGGGUCGAGGCUUGGAUGUGGGGGUUUGUGCAGGCUGCCUUCACUGGCGGUCUGCUCCCCUGAAAUGCAUUAGCGAGGUUCAUGCUGAACUUCCGUCUAUUGGUGUGAUAAUUAUCUACGCCGUGGACGAGGAUCAGACUCGCUUCUAACCGUCCGCGAGGACAAUACCUUGACAAUUUGACCUCAAAUCAGGUAGGACUACCCGCUGAACUUAAGCAUAUCAAUAAGCGGAGGAAAAGAAACUAACAAGGAUUCCCCUAGUAACUGCGAGUGAAGCGGGAAAAGCUCAAAUUUAAAAUCUGGCGGUCUUUGGCCGUCCGAGUUGUAAUCUAGAGAAGUGUUACCCGCGUCGGACCGUGUACAAGUCUCCUGGAAUGGAGCGUCAUAGAGGGUGAGAAUCCCGUCUUUGACACGGACUACCGAGGCUUUGUGGUGCGCUCUCAAGAGUCGAGUGUGUG